rnacentral:rRNA from 1 species
ACAUGCAGUCGAACGAUGAUCCGGUGCUUGCGCCGGGGAUUAGUGGCGAACGGGUGAGUAACACGUGAGUAACCUGCCCUUGACUCUGGGAUAAGCCUGGGAAACUGGGUCUAAUACCGGAUAUGACUCCUCAUCGCAUGGUGGGGGGUGGAAAGCUUUUUGUGGUUUUGGAUGGACUCGCGGCCUAUCAGCUUGUUGGUGGGGUAAUGGCCUACCAAGGCGACGACGGGUAGCCGGCCUGACAGGGUGACCGGCCACACUGGGACUGAGACACGGCCCAGACUCCUACAGGAGGCAGCAGUGGGGAAUAUUGCACAAUGGGCGAAAGCCUGAUGCACCGACGCCGCGUGAGGGAUGACGGCCUUCGGGUUGUAAACCUCUUUCAGUAGGGAAGAAGCCCUCUUUGGGGGCGACGCUACUUGCAGAAGAACCGGCUGCUAACUACCCGCCAGCCGCCGCGGUACUACGUGCGGCGCAAGCGUUAUCCAGAAUUGUGGGG